GCCGUAGGUUCAUUCUUCGCAUUUGAAUCCAAAGCGGAUGUAUCGCCGCCACUUUUCUCUUUGCUUUUAGAGGCAUCCACCAUAGACGAUGAAUUAACGCUGUUAGAUUGCAUUUGUAGAGACUGAGUAGUAUCUUGUGAAAUGGAAUUAGUUCCUCCUGUCGGUUCUGGAGCUCUAGAUGCAUUAGGGCUUGUUUUUGCCCCUGGAGAAGCAUGUGCAGAGGGAGAAUCUUUCAUUAUCUCAGAGAAAGUCGAUCGUUCGGUUGUGCGUAUAGUAUUGUCGGCGACACCCAUUGUAGCUAUUCCACUUUUUCCUGGUUGCGCAUGUAAGGAAGAAAACGAAGAAGAAUCCUUCGCACCAGGUGCAUUCAAUGAGCUA